rnacentral:misc_RNA from 1 species
CUGCACCAACCAGCUUAGAAAAAUGACUUUACGAGACGAAUUACUUGUCGAUGAUGAUGAAGAUGAUGAUUUUGCUGCAUUGCCAAGGGUACAGAAGAGUUCAGGUUGGUGGAAAGAGAGAUUGGGAUUGAGAAGGGGUCACAUUGAAUCUAAGAAAGGAGAUAGAAAUAUUGAAGUUUUUCAAGGAAUAGUUGACGAGAAG